rnacentral:rRNA from 1 species
AUUGAACGCUGGCGGCAGGCCUAACACAUGCAAGUCGAGCGGAUGAAGGGAGCUUGCUCCUGGAUUCAGCGGCGGACGGGUGAGUAAUGCCUAGGAAUCUGCCUGGUAGUGGGGGAUAACGUCCGGAAACGGGCGCUAAUACCGCAUACGUCCUGAGGGAGAAAGUGGGGGAUCUUCGGACCUCACGCUAUCAGAUGAACCUAGGUCGGAUUAGCUAGUUGGUGGGGUAAAGGCCUACCAAGGCGACGAUCCGUAACUGGUCUGAGAGGAUGAUCAGCCACACUGGAACUGAGACACGGUCCAGACUCCUAAGGGAGGCAGCAGUGGGGAAUAUUGGACAAUGGGCGAAAGCCUGAUACAGCCAUGCCGCGUGUGUGAAGAAGGUCUUCGGAUUGUAAAGCACUUUAAGUUGGGAGGAAGGGCAGUAAGUUAAUACCUUGCUGUUUUGACGUUACCAACAGAAUAAGCACCGGCUAACUUCGUG